GUGCCACCCGCGCGGAUGCGCUCGGCCAGAGUUCCCUGCGGCGUCAUCUCCAGUUCCAGCUCGCCCGCCAGGUAGAGCUUCUCGCAGAGCGCGUUCUCCCCCAGGUAGGAGCACACCACGCGCCUGACCUGCUUGGAGGCCAGCAAGAUGCCCAGGCCGAAGUCGUCCACGCCCACGUUGCUGCUGACGAUCUUCAGGUCCUUCACGCCCUUGGUCUUCAGCGCACCGAUCAGGUUCUCGGGGAUGCCGCAGAGCCCGAAGCCCCCGAGCAUGACGGUCGACCCAUCCUUGACGCCCUCCACCGCCUUCACCGGGUCCGUGUAGAAAUGGACACUCCCGCUGCGGUCCGAAACAUAGCGGCGGAUAAGGCGGUGGGGCAGCGCAGGUCGUGGGCGGAGAGCAGAGACCCCACGUGGGAGCGCCCAGGCCAGAAGCCUCAGCGCCGCCAUCUUCCACAGCCAUCGGGCUCCCAGCUCCGGGACAGAGAGAGAAAGACCAGGUGCACUUUGGCAGAGCAGCGCUCUGCGCUGCGUCACAGAGCAGGGAGGUGGACACUGCCAGGGAUGGUCGUGGGUCUCACUCAGCCGAGGACACCCUUGGCCAUUCCUGCUGCCCAGCCUGUCUCUCAAGAGCCUUGGACAGACACUUCAAACCCCUGCUUAAUGCUGCUGACAAAUGGCAGUGAGCACCGGGGCUCCACUGUACCCAAGAGAGCUCGCCCCAGGGCAGAGGUGGGGAUGGGGCAGUUCCAGGUUAGGAUCCCCCCUCCUGGAGGGAGGGGCUGAAGUUAGCGCAUCUUUUAAAGCCACAGUCCCAUCUGUCACCCCCUGAUGUUAAACUCUAAACUCUCCCAGGGCUGUGCCACGUUUCCCUAACUUAGAGUGACCCCUGCCCGCCACCUCCCUGUCCUCCCUUUCCAACCUAUCUUCCAGCCUUUUGCUGGACUCCAGAGAGACUGUUCCUGCCCUGUUGUCCUUUCUGUCCUCCCUGCCCGACAUAAGGAAAUGUCCCAGGAAACCCCUGUGAGUGAAGUAGAAACAUCUGUACCCAAGGAAACAGGCUUCCCUGCUGAGUUACAACUCUGCAGAGCUGUGAUAGCUCUGAGCUCAGGAAACCUGGGGUGCAGAUCCCCCCACCCCUCCUUCCUAGUACAGAACCUGUCAGAGUGGAGGCUUGCUGCCCAGAGAGAAGGACCCCUUUCCUGGAGGGGUCCUGGUUCUCAGGAGGUCAGUUGCUAUGUAUGAGGUGGACCAGAAGGCAUUCCUGGCUGGGGCCUUCCCAUGUCCAGGACCUCACCAUUCUGCCCAAGUCCUCAAUAAAGGCUAAACACCUCCCUCCCAACACCCCCACAGUGAGAGGUCUCUGUGUACUAGCCCGGUGGCCUCUGCUGGAACCACCUCCCAAGACCCCAGGGCAGCUCCCUGCUAAGUCCUGGAGUCUCACCAUCCUCGGUUUCCACAUAGAGGCGGAGUCCUAGGUCCUUGUGAUGGUUCAGCAGCCAUCGGUCACUGGCUGCUGUGAUGUCCAGCACCAGCCAGCCCUCGUCCCCAGAUCGGAGCGUCUGAAGAUCCAAAAAGAACAAGUCAGACUCCCUGUGGACAUGAAAGGACAAUUAACCAAGGGCUGAGGAGGUUGGCACAGCUGCUUGUAUCUUGUGCCUGCCUGGGGACCACUCUCAGAGCCUCUUCCCUGCUUGACUCUGGGCUGGUGUCUUUGGUUCCACAUUUCCCUGAUAAUCAACCCUUGACAUUUUAGAGUCCAUGUGCUGAUAGGGACACUGGCUCAGUGCUGUGACCUAGUGAGGGCCCCACAGCCAGAGUGACAGGGCAGGAGUUUCAGGCCAAACCCCUUUCUCAUGUCUGAGGCCCCUUUCCCAGGAGGCUUCCCUUUCCUUUCUUGGAAAUGCACCCCCUGGACAGGACCCCUGCCAGAGACCAGGAGGCUAUGAGGUGGGGUGGGCACUGGGCAGAGGGACGGUACCUGUUGGAGUGCUCUUGGACCACUUCGAACAUGCUGAUGUGGAGGGUUGUGUUGAGCGGGUGGGUACUGGGUUCUUUGUAGAUCCGGAACUCAGCAGCUGUGACAGCCUCCCCAGCAGGGAUCUGGGUUAGGUCAAAGUGGAAUUCCUUCCAGUGUGGCUCCUGGUAGCCCAGGGUACGGUCGCGUUCCACUGGAAGACAAAGUGGGAGUGGGGUCAUCACCAGGAGCCUGGAUGGCUUGUGCUCAGAGUAGGACCCCAGGCAGCCUGGGUGGGGCCCAUGCUUUCUCUACACACAGGCUUGUGGUCUGCCCUGGGUGCUCACCAGGUUUCAGGACUUGGGGCUGUGGGAAGCUGAGGAUGUGCUCAGCAGGCCCCUGGACGCACAGACAGUCACAGUGCUGCCUCUCAUAGCCCCCAGGCUGGCGGCAAGAUGGACAUUGGUCCAAGGUAGAGAAACAGCUCCAUUCCAAGGAGAAGCCCUGUGGACAGGGAUGUAAUUGGCUGAGCUUCAGUGGGAUAGAGGACUCCCAGAGCCUGCCUUUGUCUGACAGCUGAGCCUGGCUGGCAGGGCUGUGCUUCAGUUUCCUUCAGUGUUCUGGGUAAGGCUGUGCAGACUGCAGGCCACACCACAAGGUCAGCAGCAGAAGGGCCUCAGGGAAGGGAGGGACACAGUGCCAGCAACCAGAGGACAAAGGACCCACAUUUCUUCUAGGGGACAUAAGGAAAGUGGAAGAACAGAGGUAGAAAGAAAUAAACAUUAAAGAAGGAUGACAAGCCUGGGACAGGCCAUAACAUCCUGGAGACAUCUGCCCGACAUGGCAGGGUUUCUUAGCAGUUAGCAGAGGUGCUCUAUUCACAGGACAGCUGGUCUGCAUGGGUAAGGGGAGUGUUGCCUACCCACAGACCCACAGCAGUGAGCCAAACGAUCCAUGCGUGCUUUAGCAUGAGUGCAGUGUUGGGAGAGCUACAGUCUGAGAGUCCAGGUAGGAGAGCCCAGGGUGGGUGCAGCUGUCAGGGCAGAGGCCAAAUCUGAAGAACAAAUCCUACUUUUAUCCAACCGCACACACAUGCCUAGGGAGGAAUAUUUAGGGAGCAUCCCUGCACUGUUUUGUUUUUGCUUUUUGUUUUGUUUGAUUUGUAUUUGUUUUUGUUUUUGUCUUUUUGGCAGGGGGCUAGAGGGAGUUGGGAUUGAGACAAGGUUUCUCUGUGUAGCCCUGGCUGCCCUGGAACUCACUCUGUAGACCAGGCUGGCCUCGAACUCAGAGAUCUGCCUGCCUCUGCCUCCCGAGUGAUGGGAUUAAAGGCGUGCACCAGAUUCUUUCGCUCUCAAAGGCUGACAUAGCUAUGUUUCCAGAAAGCAGGGGUUAAAUCAGCCGUGUCUUCCCCAAACCUAAUAGAGAUUUUAAUUACAUCUUUCCAAGUCUUUAACAAUUUCCUCUGUGGCUACUAGGCCUGCUGAUCACAAGCUAGGUUCUUGAAAGCACUAGUAAACAUGGAGAGGGCUUUCUGUCUUUCUGUGAGGACUUUAAGGCAGUAAUGGCUGGGCUGGGGGGUGGGGGUGGGGGUGGGGGUGGGAGAAACCACAGUGAGCAAGACAGUUAAGCUCAGCACUAAGGAGGUUUAAAAAAACAAGAGAGGAACCCUGGUGUGGUAGUGCAUGCCUUUAAGGCCAGCACGCAGGCAGAGACAGACAGAGCUCUAUGAAUUCGAGCCAGCCUGGUCUACACAGGUACACAGGCUGGGGCCACACGGUGAGACCCUGGCUCAAAAAGAAAAAAAUAGAAUGUGAUGAUUAAAAAAAGAAAUCUUGUAAAUGU